UAUGCAAACGAUGAAGCGUUAAUCGUUAUGCAAACGAUUGAGAAUAGCAGCAACAACACUUGGUUAAAAAACCACUUCAACCACUUCAACCACUUCGUCAACCACUUCAACCACUUCAACCACUUCAACCACUUUGUCAACAACCACA
rnacentral:lncRNA from 1 species